rnacentral:lncRNA from 1 species
CUGUUGUAUGCUCAUACUCUGCUAUUUUCUAUCUUCCAGAAUAUAAUUUGUGCUUUCCUCAACCCUAUACAGCUUCACAAAGGAAUCCACAUAUGGUCUGAAAACCGCCUCCCUACGUCAACUGGCCAGUUGGAGCCCCGGAGUCUUGUGCCUCCAAAGAAGUUGGCAGCAGACUUCGACUUCUGGCCAUUGGAUGGUGGGCACUGCCAAUUUGUGUCUUGAAUGGAAUAACGAGGGUAUUAAGAUGCAUUUUCUAUGAGCCACCUCUGAACAUCACCCCUGUGAUAUCCUUUGGUGCCACUUUGCUGAUGGAAGAAGCUCGAGGUGAAUGAUUUUUGAACCUUCAUCACUGAGGAUAACGUGAAGCUAGUCACUUGCCAUCUGGCUACACCUGAACAUGCCAAACCGCAUUACAUGGAAGGAGUUCCAGAAAGAUAUGUUGCAGACCCCAAGAAGGAAUGACUCCUUAGACAUGGACAGAGCAAGGAAUGUUGUACCCGGAGAGUGGCAAGUGCCUUCUGAUUAAAAUCUGGCAAUUCUGUGAAGCUGCUAGCUGGAGAGAACAAAACAGCUAAGGAUUCAAGCAUCUGACCAUUCUGGUGCAUCAUUCUCUUCUCAUUGGAACAUCUACAGGUAUUAUUAAACCCAUUUACAUUUACAAAAGCACUUGCUUUUGAAGCAUGUUAAACAGUUUGCCCAAUAUUGCACCUCCAGUAUGUGGGAAAACAG